GACGAACGCUGGCGGCGUGCUUAACACAUGCAAGUCGAACGGAAAGGCCUGCUUUCCCUUGUGGAUUGCGGGUACUCGAGUGGCGAACGGGUGAGUAACACGUGAGUUAUCUGCCCCCAACUUGGGUAUAAGCCUGGGAAACUGGGUCUAAUUCCCGAUAGGACUGCAGGGUGGUGCCUGUGGUGGAAAACGAUUUUCUAGUGGUUGGGGAUGAGCUCGCGGCCUAUCAGCUUGUUGGUGGGGUAAUGGCCUACCAAGGCGGCGACGGGUAGCCGGCCUGAGAGGGUGGACGGCGACAUUGGGACUGAGAUACGGCCCAGACUCCUACGGGAGGCAGCAGUGGGGAAUAUUGCACAAUGGGCGGAAGCCUGAUGCAGCGACGCCGCGUGGGGGAUGAUGGCCUUCGGGUUGUAAACUCCUUUCGACCGCGAGGAAGCCACCUGGUUGGAAGGGUGGUGACGGUAGUGGUAGAAGAAGCACCGGCUAACUACGUG
rnacentral:rRNA from 1 species